rnacentral:rRNA from 1 species
GACGAACGCUGGCGGCGUGCCUAAUACAUGCAAGUCGAACGCAGUGGGGACGGGUGAGUAACACGUGGGUAACCUCCCAUCAGAGGGGAUAACACUUGGAAACAGGUGCUAAACCGAUACUGAUGGAUGGACCCGCGGUGCAUUAGCUAGUGGGUGAGGUAACGGCUCACCAAGGCCACGAUGCAUAGCCAACCUGAGAGGGUGAUCUGCCACACUGGGACUGCGACACGGACCAGACUCCUACGGGAGGCAGCAGUAGAGAAUCUUCGGCAAUGGACGAAAGUCUGAACGAGCAACGACGCGUGAGUGAAUAAGGUUUUCGGAUCGUAAAACUCUGUUGUUAUAGCAGCGGUAUCUAACCAGAAAGCCACGGCUAACUCCGUGCCAGCAGCCGCGGUAAGAC